rnacentral:rRNA from 1 species
GAUGAACGCUGGCGGCGUGCCUAAUACAUGCAAGUCGAGCGAACAGACGAGGAGCUUGCUCCUCUGACGUUAGCGGCGGACGGGUGAGUAACACGUGGAUAACCUACCUAUAAGACUGUGAUAACUUCGGGAAACCGGAGCUAAUACCGGAUAAUAUAUUGAACCGCAUGGUUCAAUAGUGAAAGACGGUUUUGCUGUCACUUAUAGAUUGAUCCGCGCCGCAUUAGCUAGUUGGUCAGGUAACGGCUUACCAAGGCAACGAUGCGUAGCCGCCCUGAGAGGGGGAUCGGCCACACUGGAACUGAGACACGGUCCAGACUCCUACGGGAGGCAGCAGUAGGGAAUCUUCCGCAAUGGGCGAAAGCCUGACGGAGCAACGCCGCGUGAGUGAUGAAGGUCUUCGGAUCGUAAAACUCUGUUAUUAGGGAAGAACAAAUGUGUAAGUAACUAUGCACGUAUUGACGGUACCUAAUCAGAAAGCCACGGCUAACUACGUG